UUUAUACUUGCACAAAGGGCACUAUAUCUCCACCCUUAGCGCAUGUGGAUAUCUUGAUUUUGGACUGUAUUUGUUAAUGAUAAUGUUAGUAUCUAAACCUGCAGUCAGCACCCCAUGUUUGCCACUGGUAGAAGUGCACUGCAGUUUAACUACCCCAUUGCACUUGGAGCCGAUUAUCUCUCUCUCUAGGUCUCCUUUCUGCAAGGGGAUCUUGGAGAUGUACAUCACUUCUCCAUUAGCAUUUAGGCUCACGCACAUCUGCGGCUUAUUUUUCUUGUAGAGGUUAAAGGAAGAGGUGGGGUUUUGCUGCUUUGGCUUUCCUAGUCUGAGAGCUGUUCUCCUGCAAUAUUGCUGCUGCCAUUAAAUGAAGUGAUUUUUCCACCUCAGUAAAAACAUCAGUGAUGUGGGGCCUAAUUGUUCUCUUAUGUAGAGCCAUGCAGUUCCAUAAGCCACAAAGAGUAGCUCUUUUGCCAAAUUAUAGCACACAAGUGUGUGGGGGGGGCUCUUUUGUUACAAAAGGAGGGCUGCAGUAGAGACCUGGACCUCAGCUAAUCACCACAAGAUGUUUUGCAAAGGCUCUGCUCUGACUUCUAUGCACAUAAAUAAGGUACUGCUAGUCAUUAGUGAUGAAGGAGCUGCAUAUGGGGUAUUUAAGCUCUCAGAAGAUUGACUGCGUACCUGGACACCUUUCUGAAUGGCUGGAAGGUGUGGAGCUGGGCAGAAAGUCUCAUAAGAAGUGCCUCUCACGAGAUGCACAGGCUCCUCUGUCUCCAGUCUUGGGUACAGCAUGGGUGCAUGACAAACACCAGAAAUGGCUGGUUUGGCUUGAACUUGAUCCUGUACCCAAAUGGGAAAGAGGCAAAUAUGUGGAAAAACUAAAGCUGAAACUUUGAGUGACGUAAGGUAGAAAUAUAAACCUUGUCCAGUGCUCUCCUGCUCUCUGGUUUCUCCAGAUAGCUGCUUUCCGCAUGUCCUGUGACGUUGAAGAAUGGCAGGAGAGACUGCAGGGCACAACGGCAAUAACCUUCAAUUGGGAGCAUGCUGAGCAGGGGAGGAGUAGAAAAUGGGGGGGGGUCCUGGGAACCUGUGAGCAGAGGACUUGUGGCACGUGGCCUGACUUUGUUCCCCUCCACAGUAGCUUUGUAUUUUAGGGCUUGACCUUUCCUCACCUUUUCUGUAGCUAGGGGUGCCUGAAUGGAGAGGAGCUGGAGUGGGGCAUGCAGUGGCUUUCCCAUCAUUCGGCACUAGAGAGAGAGACUGGAGGAGAGCUCUCCACUCCAAAUCCAGCCCAAAGCUAAAACAGCCAGUGUUUCUAUUGUCAGACAACCUGCAAGACAGAGGUUAGCGUCGAACGACUCAAUGUGCCUUGUCUCCUCCCCUCCCCUUUCUCCCUGCCAACUGGUGGUGUAGGGUCUCCCAGCCCUACUGGAUGGAGAGGGUCACCUCAGGUUGGUAUGUUCUCUCUUCCCCCAGUGUCUUUCCAGGGAUUCCCUACCCUUCAGGCUUGUUUGCAUGGGGACACGUGGGAAAGUGAAGGUGCAUAAACUAAAGAUAAAUGCACUGAAGUCAGGGCACAUUAAACCUUCAUGAGGGCGCUUCCAUUCCAAAGGCACGUGGCUUCACUAGCCUUUUGAUCCACAAUAAUCCAAGGGCUUGUCUAUGUGCAGUCAGGGAGGGGUUGUAUUUACAGUGCACGACCUACUUUCGGCUCGCUUUGUGUGUAGAGACUCUUAAGGCACAGUAAAUGCAAGGUAACCAACUCCACUUUCAGAGCAGGGCGAGUGCAGCACACAUUCACGCCUUGGCUUACUUUCCCCUUUAGACAAGCCCUAAGAUCAGUGCUCUAGGGUCACAUCGCUCCUGAAUGAGAUAAAUCCACCCAAGUGUCUAACAAGCCUUACACCAUCAAUCCCUCAGCACAGACAGGCUUUCUCCCCUCCACCACCAGGUUGACCUGCAUAUUUCUCAAGUGAUGUUCCAGACGGGGUAUGAACCAGCCCUGGGUAGUUUGUACUACAUCUUACAUUUGAGGGCAAGUCGUUCUGGGUAGUUAGUCAAGUGGCCCAACAGGUGACAGAAAAAGAGCACAGCUAAUACAAUACUUAAGGCCCGAGCUGCAGGUCUCAAUAUCCAAAGGCUUCAGUUGCUGCCCAUUGGAGGAAGAGAGGCCUGGCUUGUCAUGGUCAGUAAAUCCACUGCACUGAACUGGGCCAUUACUGUAGAAGCUCUGCUUCCCCAAGCCCCAUUUGUAGCCUUUACAGUGUGUUGUGCCUCCUGGGAAGCCACCUGAAGGGCUAAUUCUGGUGGGGUCCUUGCAAGGCUGAGAUGCUGCCAUUUGGGGGCUUCUUAUCAUGACGGAGCCUGGUUUGAGGUUGGAGAAGUGGGAGGGCAUGAACUGUAGAACUACCACUCUGGUUGGGAACCAGGAGACCAAAGCAUCUGAAACAGCUGGUUUGAGAAACAAAUCACAGGGAUGUUGUUUGAGUGAACCGUGCUCAAGGUUCACGCUCCCUUCCUUGUGGUCAGCCAUUGCCCCGCGCUCACUUUCUCCCCCCUCUGCACGCAAACCCAUUUGUGCCAUAACACUGAUUUUCUAGAUGUGCAAACCAGCCAAAAAAGGAGUGCUGUUCUCUCCCUCUCUUACUCAGCCCCCUAGCUGGUUAUUCCUUUAACAAGGCAGAGAGCGUGGGCAUCACUUCGUACAGCGCGUGCAGGAGAAUAUGGUCUUUCACACGGGCAUGGGGCCCCCCCCGACAUGUGUUGCAGCUACAAGGCUUGCCUGGCUCCACCUCCUCCCUUCCCACCUUUGCUGCUGGACAAUCACCCCCUUUUUUCUCCAGAUCACCCUCACCCCAAAUGGACAGACCCGGUGCUGUCUCCUGUUUGCCUUUCCUUGCAGCAGUUUGUGCCCUGCUACUCAGUGAAUGUGUUCCGGUUUGGGUUGGAAAAGGACUUCCUUCUGCAGAGGGAAAUCUAUUUGCACAUGGCUCAGGGAGGCUUCUCCUCUGACCGUCUCUGUUACCUCACUCAUUUUGGCCAAUGUUACUGCUCACAUUAAGCAGCCGCCUUCCCCACCCUCACCAGGAGGCUCGAGAGCUGAGCUGCAUUGCUGUAGCCCCAGUCUCAGUCCAAACUAUCCCCUGUGGCACCAGAUCUGAGAGCUGCUAAGCAGCAGCAGCUCUGCGUUGUUCAUCUGUAUUGCUGGCUAGCCCACCUUCCCCUGUAAAGGGUACUUAACAGAACAAACAUGGAAGCACUUACCCGCACUCUUGGUCCAGUGCAGUUGGAAGGGAAGGCUGAGCAAACUGAACCUCCCCGCUGUGAGCGGAUGCUGCCUGCCCUGAGCCUGGUAUAGUAUUGUGACCGCACGUUUGGGGUGUUACCAGCAGUUUGCUUUGCAUUAUUUUCCCCAGCUCACCAAGUGCUCCAGGGCUGGAUAAUGCUGCUGCGUUCCUGAAAUAGCUCUUUCCCCCCAGUCAUGGGCCAGGUUCCUGCAACCUUGACUGCUGCAAAUCAUCCCCAGUUAGUAAGGAUUGAUCUAUUUCAACAGGAGGGGGUUGUGUGGUCAGCCCCAAGGAGUGCCCAACCCUUCUGACUUGUAACACCACAUGGUGGGAAAGGAGGGGCGACAGGCCAAGGACCUACAUCCGCCUGGUUUAGAGCGGACAUGGGUUGUAGUAGUAAGACAGACUCUGGGGCUGGGCCACGUGCACAAUGAACACCAGUUGUGUUUUCGGGGUUGUCUGGCUCUCUGUGUUUGGCUCUGUAACUGUAAUAAACUUUGCGCUGUGCGCAAGGUGCGAUAAGCCCGAUAAUGAAACUUACCUGCUAGAUCCUAGGAGUUAUAAAGGCUACACAGCCAAAUCUUACUGUAAAGUAGCUAGUACAACGGAAGUACAGUAUGAAUAAAAAAGUAUUGAACAAAUGA